GCGGUGAAUGAGUUUUCAUUGACCUGGUCUUCUAAGAGGGACUUUCGGUGAUUAACCGAAGGAAGUUGGGGGCAAUAACAGGUCUGUGAUGCCCUUAGAUGAUCUGGGCCGCACGCGCGCUACACUGAUGCAUUCAACGAGUCUAGAACCUUGCCGAGAGGCCUGGGCAAUAU
rnacentral:rRNA from 1 species